rfam:Rattus norvegicus chromosome 1, whole genome shotgun sequence.
GGGGAUUUAGCUCAGUGGUAGAGCACUUGCCUAGCAAGCGCAAGGCCCUGGGUUCGAUCCUCAGCUCCG